UACGUAGGUGGCGAGCGUUGUCCGGAAUUACUGGGUGUAAAGGGAGCGCAGGCGGGGAAGCAAGUCAGCUGUGAAAUCUAUGGGCUUAACCCAUAACGUGCAGUUGAAACUGUUUUUCUUGAGUGGAGUAGAGGUAGGCGGAAUUCCGAGUGUAGCGGUGAAAUGCGUAGAGAUUCGGAGGAACACCGGUGGCGAAGGCGGCUUUCUGGCCAGUUACUGACGCUCAUGCGCGAAAGCUGGGGUAGCGAACCGGAUUAGAUACCCCCGUAGUCCCUGA
rnacentral:rRNA from 1 species